UACGUAGGGUGCAAGCGUUGUCCGGAAUUAUUGGGCGUAAAGAGCUCGUAGGCGGUCUGUCGCGUCUGCUGUGAAAAUCCAGGGCUCAACCCUGGACCUGCAGUGGGUACGGGCAGACUAGAGUGCGGUAGGGGAGAUCGGAAUUCCUGGUGUAGCGGUGAAAUGCGCAGAUAUCAGGAGGAACACCGGUGGCGAAGGCGGAUCUCUGGGCCAUUACUGACGCUGAGGAGCGAAAGCGUGGGGAGCGAACAGG
rnacentral:rRNA from 1 species